rnacentral:lncRNA from 1 species
UUAGAAUGAAGCUAAUCACUACUUAAGAAACAAGCAUGUGUCACCUCUUCUCCCAGGAACUGGAGCAGAUGUGCAGGCCUUAGAUCGGAAGUGCCUUCUUAUCCCCACCUGACAACACUUCUCCACUCUGCCUCCAUGAGACCCGAAGUUUUGAACAUCAGCAUCUGAGUCAGUCAUGCCACUUGUCACAGGACGUCAGCGUUCAGAGAAAGCAGCAGAGAAAAUAGAAGCAUUCAGAAGAGAACUUCCACAAACCUCCUCCAAGGUAACUACUGUGUCCGUCUUACCUGUGUUCCCUCUCUGAACCCAGAAUGAACUGAUUAUACUCUUAUUUAAGGC